UGACCUCAAACCACUUGCAUCUCGAACCUCUCGCCGCCGGCCACCAAUGCUGCUACCUCGAACUACCCCGCGGACGUCAACCAUGCCGCCCGUUACCGUCUCUCUUGGACCUAACCUCGUAGCCCCGAGCUCGAGCAGCCGAGAGAAAGAGAUCCAUGUCCAGAUGAGUAAUUUUAUUUACAGCAGCAUCAAGCCACGUUAGCAAAACUCGUCAUCAGAACGAUUGAAGGACGACUGGUGGCACUUUUUGGAAAAUGGAGGGAAGGCAUCGACAAAAAGAAAAGAGAGUUACUGCAGCUGUUAUGAAUGUUCGAGCAAAAAGACAGGACCACUAGAGACAUGCCGUUAAAUGAAUGAACAUCAAUCCUUUACUUGUCGUAGAACUUUGCACGACUUUUAUCUAAGCCAUGUCAUUAAAUGGCAAACCGACAUGUACUUCUCCUUCCUCAAUCCGCACAGGAAACUGACGUCAUUUUCAGCAGCAAACGCACGGACUUUCCAUCAUCUGAAUUCCCAGAAGACGAGACGUUCUCAGUUUGGCCGUGUCGGAAGCAGCAGUAUAAGGUUGUCCACAUCCCCACCAAGAAUCACUCAUAAUCACCGUUGAACUCGAAAGGAGAAGAAAAACGUCGCCAUGACUGCUGAAUCUGCAAGAAACCGACGCGGGACCGACGGCGACGGCGAAAGUCGAGACCUUGGCGAUUCUUGCGCUGGUGGGCACUGCGGUUUCGUGGACGGCGACGUGUUUCAGUACCUCAAUGUGAACCCGCGCGGCGGAGGGGUCCGCGACUUGCUGAAUUACGGCGCGUGGGGCGACGCGAGGAGUGGGGUGAAGUUCUUGGAGAGCUCGAGAGGGGUCGACUUCGCGGCGGCGGUCGCGAGUGAUCGCAGAUGGGUCAUCGUGAUUUCGAUCAUCGUGCGCAGGGUCAUCGCUUUCUUCAGGAAGCCCAUGGAGUGGACUGGUUUCUUGGUGGACUUCGUCCUCAAUCUCCUGUCCGAAAAUGGCAACUUCCUUGGGUUGCUCUACAAUUUUAUUCGCGGAAAUGUUAUAGUCCCGCAUAGAGAUUCGGAUACAUUCAUCAGCACUGUUGGGCAUUUAGAUGGGCGAAUCGACCUUUACAAAGGCAUGAAUGUGCCAGACCAACAUGAUGACUCUGCAUUUGAACAAAGCAUUGUGAGAGUAGAAUUGGGAAAUCGCGCUUUGAUGGACCUCUGCAUCAUGGCAUCGAAGCUAGCAUACGAGAACAAAAAAGUCGUUAGAAAUGUGGUAGUUCAGCACUGGAAGAUGCAUUUUGUGGAUUUCUACAAUUGCUGGAAUGAUUACCAACAGGAAAGGUCAACUCAAGUGUUCAUGCUAUGCGACAAGCCUGUAGAUGCAAAUCUCAUACUAAUCAGCUUCAGGGGUACUGAACCUUUUGAUGCUGACGAUUGGUGUACCGAUUUCGAUUAUUCCUGGUAUGAGAUCCCGAAAUUGGGUAAAGUUCACAUGGGAUUCUUGGAAGCCUUGGGUUUGGGCAACAGAACUAAUACGGUCACCUUCCAAGAGAACCUCGAUUUGGACAAGAAGAAAUAUGCUCUUGCCAGUGGUGCUGAUGCUUCUGACUCAGAAGCAUCAGCAAGCACCAGCAACGAGGGGUUUGGGUCAGAGAUGGCAGAUGUGACUGCAUAUUAUGCCGUGAGAAGUAAGCUCAAGAGCCUACUUGAGGAGCACAAGAAUGCGAAAUUUGUAGUCACAGGACAUAGUUUAGGUGGCGCCCUUGCCAUUUUGUUCCCAACAGUGUUGGUGCUGCAUGAGGAGAUCGAGGUAAUGCAAAGAUUGUUGGGCGUGUACACAUUUGGGCAACCAAGAGUUGGGGACAGGCAGCUCCAGAGGUUCAUGGAAGAGCAUUUGGACUAUCCCUACCCGAAAUACUUCAGGGUUGUGUACUGUAAUGAUGUUGUUCCAAGGUUGCCUUAUGAUGAUCGAACUUUCUGGUAUAAACAUUUUGGAAUAUGUCUAUACUAUGAUAGCUGGUACACUGAGCAGAAAAUGGAGGAGGAACCGAAUAGAAACUACUUUGGUCCUAGAUACCUAAUUCCUGAACAUUUGAAUGCCAUCUGGGAGUUGUUCAGAGGUCUAACAAUGGGCUACACACAUGGACCGGAGUACAAGGAAGGAUGGUUCUCCAUAUUGCUUAGGGUAGUAGGAUUGGUGCUUCCGGGGUUGUCCGCUCAUUCCCCAACAGAUUAUAUUAACUCUGUGAGGCUUGGGAAGGAGCCAAUGUUCAAGUAAACCAUCAGGACGAAGCUUCUCAUACCAGUCCUGAGUUUGUGGUGGCAUCAGUAGUUGCAGCUAUCAAGUUAUGAGUUUCAGAAUAAAAAGAAACUCUUCACGGUGCUCCCAGUUCAAUGUCUAUGUUGAACCACGAUGAGGUGUCUAUGAAUAAUUACUUUAGGCAGAAUAUCCCCUAUUAUCUAGACCGUCGGCUCAAUUCCUGCAGUGGGAUACUAAAAAGUUGCGGACUCUGCACAGAGAGGUCACCUAGUUAAUAUAUUUUUUGUUACUUCGUAUCUCCUUGUCAAUGUGAGGUUUGUGUCAGACUUGUGUCAUACUUGAGGUACCUAGUUUACAGUUCAUUCAUUUGAAU